CGCGCGGUGGGGAAGCCAGGUAUCCCGCGGGGCUCAUAACCCCGAGGACGGUGGUUCAAAUCCACCCCGCGCGACCA
rnacentral:tRNA from 2 species